rnacentral:rRNA from 1 species
AUGGCCAAGUACGAGCGCGCCAUCGCGCUGACGAAGGCGCUGCCCCACACCGACCCCCGCAGCUUCUACCAGAUGGCCAACAUCCACUGCGCCUACUGCACUGGCUCCUACCGUCAGACGACACACCCGGAGCUGGACAUGCAGAUCCACUUCUCGUGGUUCUUCUUCCCGUUCCAUCGCGCCUACCUCUACUUCUUCGAGCGCAUCGCCGCCAAGCUGCUCGGAGAGCCCGACUUCGCGCUGCCCUUCUGGAGCUGGGACGUGCCGGACGGGAUGCGGAUGCCGCCGGAGUUAGCCAACUCCUCGUCGCCGCUCUACGACCCCGUUCGGAACCCCAGGCACGCGCCACCCAGGCUCGUGGACCUGGGCUUCGUCGGCGUGGAGAGCAACCGCACAGACGAGCAGCAGAUCCAGCACAACCUUAGGACCAUGUACAAGCAGAUGAUUGGUAAUGCAGCUUUGCCGUCCCUCUUCCAUGGCCAGCCAUUCCGUGCUGGUCAGUUUGACAAGCCAGGCCCUGGGACAGUGGAGCUGUCGCCACACAACACGGUGCACACCUGGACCGGCGACAUAGCUCUCGCCAACGUGGAGAACAUGGGAACCUACUACUCAGCCGGCCGAGACCCACUCUUCUACCCACACAACAGCAACAUAGAUCGCCUGUGGGAGGCAUGGCGCGAAGUCGGCGCUGCCCGUGGUUACCGUGGCCAUGUCGACUUCACGGACCGUGACUGGCUCGACUCCUCCUUUCUCUUCUACGACGAGGAGUCCCGCCUAGUGCGGAUCACUGUCCGCGACGUGCUCGACAUAGAGAAGCUCCGGUACAAGUUUGAUGGCGUUGGCAUGCCGUGGGUGGACGCACGCCCACCUACAACUCCAAACAUGCGCAAAAAUAAAGCCUUGCUAAAGUCCGUCAGAAUCCCACUAUCUCUUCACAAAGUUGUGACCGUAGAGGUAAGACGACCGCAAGUGCUUCGGAGCACGCAAGAGAAGGAGGCACAUGAGGAAGUACUGGUGAUCGAUGGCAUUGAGACCGACGGAACAGAAAUGGUCAAGUUCGACGUCUACGUGAACGCCAUGGAGCACGAGAACGUGGAGCCCAGCGGGCGCGAGCUAGCAGGGAGCUACAUGUGCUUGAGUCAUCCACGUAUCGAUGGCACAUGCAAGGGUAUGCUUGUAGAAACAAGCAUGUGGGUGGCAUUGAACGAGCUCUUGGAAGAUUUGGAUGCCGAUGGUGAUGACACCGUGACCGUGACAUUGGUGCCCAGACAUGGGAAGGUCAAAAUCAGAACCCUGCGAAUAGUGUACAUGGUGGAGUGA